rnacentral:rRNA from 1 species
UACAGGGGUGCAAACGUUGCUCGGAAUCAUUGGGCGUAAAGCGCACGUAGGCGGUCUGUUAUGUCGGAUGUGAAAGCCCUCGGACUUAACUGAGGAAGUGCAUCCGAAACUGGCAGGCUAGAGUACUAAAGAGGGUCGCGGAAUUCCGGUGUAGAGGUGAAAUUCGUAGAUAUCGGGAGGAACACCGGUGGCGAAGGCGGCGACCUGGGUAGAUACUGACGCUGAGGUGCGAAAGCGUGGGGAGCAACA